rnacentral:misc_RNA from 1 species
AGAAAAUCCCGGUCCUCAUCCACGACGGCAAGGCUGUGUGUGAGUCGCUCAUCAUCGUGGAGUACAUCGACGAGGUCUGGAGCGACAAGGCGCCGCUGCUCCCGAAAGAUCCCUAUGCAAGGGCGCAAGCUCGGUUCUGGGCCGACUACAUCGACAAGAAGAUAUACGAGUGCGGGACGAGGCUGUGGAAGCUGAAAGGUGAAGGACAAGAGGCUGCG